GACGAACGCUGGCGGCGUGCUUAACACAUGCAAGUCGAACGGAAAGGCCCUGCUUUUGUGGGGUGCUCGAGUGGCGAACGGGUGAGUAACACGUGAGUAACCUGCCCUUGACUUUGUGAUAACUUCAGGAAACUGGGGCUAAUACCGGAUAGGAGCUCCUGCUGCAUGGUGGGGGUUGGAAAGUUUCGGCGGUUGGGGAUGGACUCGCGGCUUAUCAGCUUGUUGGUGGGGUAGUGGCUUACCAAGGCUUUGACGGGUAGCCGGCCUGAGAGGGUGACCGGCCACAUUGGGACUGCGAUACGGCCCAGACUGCUACGGGAGGCAGCAGUGGGGAAUAUUGCACAAUGGGCGGAAGCCUGAUGCAGCAACGCCGCGUGCGGGAUGACGGCCUUCGGGUUGUAAACCGCUUUCGCCUGUGACGAAGCGUGAGUGACGGUAAUGGGUAAAGAAGCACCGGCUAACUACGUG
rnacentral:rRNA from 1 species